rnacentral:rRNA from 1 species
UACGGAGGGGGCUAGCGUUGUUCGGAAUUACUGGGCGUAAAGCGUGCGCAGGCGGUUAUGUAAGACAGUUGUGAAAUCCCCGGGCUCAACCUGGGAACUGCAUCUGUGACUGCAUAGCUAGAGUACUGUAGAGGGGGAUGGAAUUCCGCGUGUAGCAGUGAAAUGCGUAGAUAUGCGGAGGAACACCGAUGGCGAAGGCAAUCCCCUGGACCUGUACUGACGCUCAUGCACGAAAGCGUGGGGAGCAAACAGG